rnacentral:rRNA from 1 species
UCCAUUUUCGUUGCACGUUAAAUGCACACCAGUUCCCCAUGAAUCACUGAAGUUAAGCAACGUUGCACGUGGUUAGAAUCCGGAUGAGUGACCAUCUGAAAACAAUCGUGUGCUGCUGGCU